CGGAAUCUAAAACAGAGAGAAGAAUGCACUCUACUCAACUGGAGCGAAGUUUUAAUUUGAGGAUUUUCUUUCAGCUCGUCAAUUUCUAGUUGAGCCUUUUCAAGUGCAGAAUCUAAAAGAGAAAAAAACAAAAUACAGGUUGGGGCAAAAUUCAUCAGUGAGCCUUCGGAUCUCUUCAUGGACCAUCCUUAACCUCUUUGCUAUUUGUUCCACAUUUCUCUCUAUGCAGUUUUGUGAUGUUUUAUCUUUUUCUAUGUCUUCA